UACGGAGGAGGCAAGCGUUAUCCGGAAUUAUUGGGCGUAAAGCGUCCGCAGGUGGCACCUCAAGUCUGCUGUCAAAGACCGUGGCUUAACCCCAGAAAGGCAGUGGAAACUGAAGUGCUAGAGUGCAGUAGGGGUAGAGGGAAUUCCCGGUGUAGCGGUGAAAUGCGUAGAGAUCGGGAAGAACAUCGGUGGCGAAAGCGCUCUGCUGGACUGCAACUGACACUCAGGGACGAAAGCUAGGGGAGCGAAUGGG
rnacentral:rRNA from 1 species